GUGAGUCAUCGAAUCUUUGAACGCACAUUGCGCCCCUUGGCAUUCCGAGGGGCAUGCCCGUUCGAGCGUCAUUAUAACCCCUCAAGCCUAGCUUGGUACUGGGGCCUGCUGUUACCAGCAGCCCUUAAAAUCAGUGGCGGUGCUAUCUGGCUCUAAGCGUAGUAAUACUUCUCGCUACAGGGUCCCGGUGGAUGCUUGCCAUCAACCCCUAAUUUUCUAUGGUUGACCUCGGAUCGGGUAGGGAUACCCGCUGAACUUAAGCAUAUCAAUAAGCGGAGGA
rnacentral:misc_RNA from 1 species